UUAGGUUUGUUUUGUUCACUUAUUUUACAUUAUAGAAACGGAAUGAGAUUUAUUAAUUUUGAUAGUUGUUAUUUGUUCUACAAAAAUUGAAUUUCGAUUAAAAAAACGGAAUGAGAUUUAUUAAUUUUGAUAGUUGUUAUUUGUUCUACAAAAACUGAAUUUCGAUUUUAAUUCUACUCUGUAAAGAGAACGGUUCAAUUUAUUUAUAGUUCAAUUUGACUUUCAAUUCUAGCUUAGAUAAAUUUUAAAGUAAACAAUCCAAACUCCUCUCUCACAAAAUUUUACAUGUCCUAAUAAUCUAUUCCGAUUUAAAUUCCAAUGAUCAACCAAAUACUUUUUACUGAUUUAUUAUUUUAUUUUUUAUUUCAAUGUAAUUUAAUUUAAUUUUUUAUUUCUAUUUUAAUUAUGAAUUAAACAUGCCCUUAAUACUAUGUCCAUGUUAAAGAAUAAAACGAAAUUUUUUUUUUUAUCAAAAGUAACGAGAGAUAGGUGGCAUGCUACCCGUUUCGUUUAUUUUAUUUAGAAAUAAACUUAGCUAGAAAUAUGAAUCAACUAGGAUUCGAACUUGGGUCUCGGAUACCAACCACCAAGCCAAAGCCACUUGCUUUAGGGACAGUCGGUGUAAUGGUUUGAAAAUUAAAAAGGAACUUUUGAGUGUUUUGUGACUUUUUGGUGAUGUAUAUG
rnacentral:lncRNA from 1 species